GACGAACGCUGGCGGCGUGCCUAACACAUGCAAGUCGAGCGGAGUCGAUCGACGGAAGCCUUCGGGCGGAAGAUGGUUGACUUAGCGGCGAACGGGUGAGUAACGCGUGGGUGACCUACCCAGGAGACCGGGAUAACAGCUCGAAAGGACUGCUAAUACCGGAUGACAUCCUACUCUUUGGGGGUAGGAUCAAAGCGUUAAGUAGCGCUUCUGGAUGGGCCCGCGUCCCAUUAGCUAGUUGGUGAGGUAACGGCUCACCAAGGCGACGAUGGGUAGCCGGUCUGAGAGGAUGGUCGGCCACACUGGGACUGAGAUACGGCCCAGACUCCUACGGGAGGCAGCAGUGGGGGAUAUUGCACAAUGGAGGAAACUCUGAUGCAGCAACGCCGCGUGAGGGAAGAAGGUCUUCGGAUUGUAAACCCCUGUCCUCAGGGACGAUAAUGACGGUACCUGAGGAGGAAGCUCCGGCUAACUACGUG
rnacentral:rRNA from 1 species